rnacentral:rRNA from 1 species
GGUAGCAUAAUCAUUAGUCUCCUAAUUAGAGGCUUGUAUGAAUGGUCGGACAAGAUGAGAACUGUCUCUAUACAAUAAAUAAAAUUUAAUAUUUAAGUAAAAAAGCUUAAAUGAAAUGGAGGGACGAUAAGACCCUAUAAAGCUUUAUGAUACAACUAUUUCUUAUAAAAUAUCUUUUAAAUCACUUAAUAGAAUGUAUUAUUUUACUGGGGCGGUAAAAGUAUAAUGUAUUAUUAACUGCUUUUGUUUUUAAAAACAAUCAUAAUUGGAAACAAAUUGAUCCAUUAUUAAUGAUCACAAGAACAAGUUACUUUAGGGAUAACAGCGUUAUUUUUCUUGAGAGUCCUCAUCGAAAGAAAAGUUUGCGACCUCGAUGU